CCUACGGGUGGCAGCAGUGGGGGAUAUUGGACAAUGGGGGGAACCCUGAUCCAGCGACGCCGCGUGAGUGAAGAAGUAUCUCGGUAUGUAAAGCUCUAUCAGCAGGGAAGCAAAAAUGACGGUACCUGAGUAAGAAGCCCCGGCUAACUAUGUGCCAGCAGCCGCGGUAAUACGUAGGGGGCAAGCGUUAUCCGGAAUUACUGGGGGUAAAGGGCGUGCAGCCGGGAAGACAAGUCAGAUGUGAAAUCCCGGGGCUCAACCGCGGAACUGCAUUUGAAACUGUUUUUCUUGAGUACCGGAGAGGUCAGCGGAAUUCGUUGUGUAGCGGUGAAAUGCGUAGAUAUAAGGAAGAACACCAGUGGCGAAGGCGGAGGACUGGACGGCAACUGACGGUGAGGCGCGAAAGCGUGGGGAGCAAACAGGAUUAGAUACCCGAGUAGUC
rnacentral:rRNA from 1 species